UACAGAGGUCCCAAGCGUUGUUCGGAUUCACUGGGCGUAAAGGGUGCGUAGGUGGCUGGGUAAGUUCGAUGUGAAAUCUCCGGGCUCAACCCGGAAACGGCAUUGAAUACUAUCCAGCUAGAGGGUUGGAGGGGGGACUGGAAUUCUCGGUGUAGCAGUGAAAUGCGUAGAUAUCGAGAGGAACACCGGUGGCGAAGGCGAGUCCCUGGACAACCCCUGACGCUGAGGCACGAAAGCUAGGGGAGCAAACAGG
rnacentral:rRNA from 1 species